UUACUAACUUCAACCACAUACAAACUCCAAUUACCUUAUUACUCUCAUAAUUAGAUAAUUUUAAUUUUUCUUUAUAAGCUUUAAUUCUAGUCAAUAACCUUCAGCAAGUUGUAACUCCUAAUUUAAUCAUCUACUUGGUGCAAAAUUUUACAUACAAAUGCUAUUAUAAAUCUUUUAUAUGCUAGGAAAAUUUCAAUUCAAUCCAAUUUAUAAAUUGUGAAAAAAUUUCCAAAAUAUUACAUUAAUAUCACUUAGUCGCUAACUUAAAAGUUAAUACAAAUAUUCUAAUACCAUUUUUUUUCAAUCAUUAAUUUCAGCUCAAAAUAGGUAUAUAGCUUGAUCUUCAAGUCUUUUAAUAUCAUGCUAAAUUUUCACCUUAUUCUAAUUAGUUGAUUUUUAAA
rnacentral:lncRNA from 1 species